GCCAGGUGUGGUGUUGUGCACCUAUAGUCCCAGCUGCUUGGGAGGCUGAGGUUGGAGGAUUGCUUGAGCCCAAGAAAUCAAGGCUGCAGUGAGCUGUGAUCUCGCCACUGCACUCUAGCCUGGGUAACAAAGCAAGACCCUGUCUCAC
rnacentral:SRP_RNA from 2 species